rnacentral:pre_miRNA from 1 species
CCCGAGAGAACACGGUUUUAUGUUUGUUUUAUGAUGUUUGACCAUUCGUUUCAUUUGAAAAAAAAUUAUGUUUGGUAUUUUUACUGUUAUUAGAUGAUAACAUGAACAAUACUUUAAGUGUGAUUAUUUUUUAAUUUUUCAUAAAUUUUUCAAAUAAAACGGAUGGUCAAACAUUAAAUAUAGAAACCCCAACUGCACUUCAA